UACGGGGGGGGCAAGCGUUGUUCGGAAUUACUGGGCGUAAAGGGCGCGUAGGCGGCCAACUAAGUCGGAUGUGAAAUCCCCAGGCUUAACCUGGGAACUGCAUCCGAUACUGGAUGGCUUGAAUCCGGGAGAGGGAUGCGGAAUUCCAGGUGUAGCGGUGAAAUGCGUAGAUAUCUGGAGGAACACCGGUGGCGAAGGCGGCAUCCUGGACCGGCAUUGACGCUGAGGAGCGAAAGCCAGGGGAGCAAACGGG
rnacentral:rRNA from 1 species